UACGUAGGGGGCAAGCGUUACUCGGAAUUACUGGGCGUAAAGGGUGUGUAGGCGGCCGGGUAAGUCGAAGAUGAAAUCCCAUGGCUCAACCAUGGAAUUGUCUUCGAUACUGUCCGGCUUGAGGGUAGUGGAGGAGAGCGGAAUUCCCGGUGGAGCGGUGACAUGCGUAGAUAUCGGGAGGAACACCGGAGGCGAAGGCGGCUCUCUAUGCUACUCCUGACGCCGGGGCACGAAAGCUAGGGGAGCAAACCGC
rnacentral:rRNA from 1 species